GACACGAGGGCAUUUCAUUCAUAUUUGGAGAGAUUAAUUAAUCAUCAUCUUCAUGAUAUAUAAACUCACCCAUAUAAAUAUAAUAAAGAGCUAGAUGAUCAUUGCUCCACAGGAUACAGCUCAGCUCAUGAAAAAUUCUUAAUUUAUAGUAUAUGCUUAUGCAGAUCUAAACUUUGAGGGGAGGGGUAUACUUUCUAAGAAAAUUAAUUAAUGCAUGAAACUUAGGGAAUAAAUAAAAUUAACCACUUUUAAUUCAAUAAUCAAUAUAUCAGAGAUUUCCUCUUCCCAUUGGCUCUACAAAUUUAAUAACAAUAUUUAUGCGCUUGUGCUCAGGGGAGAAAGCUUGCUCAAUUACACUGCAUAUCUUAUUCAUACCUUCACUGCUCGAGAGAGCAUGAUAAAAGAAAAGAUUAACGUACAUGAAUUGGGAAAUAGAUAUCUGUAGCCUUUAUUCUAAUCUGAAUAGAAUCUUCUUUAAAUUAGUUGUUCAUUCUAAAUUAAUUAAUCCCUUUCCCUAUUUUGCUUCACACACACACACACACACACAUAUAUAUAUAUAUAUAUAUAUAUAUAUAUAUAUAUAUAUAAAUGUCAAGGUAUGGUGGUAAAAUUUAAGGAGGAAAUAUAUAGUCUGAAUUCAUGAACUUAUAAGAAAAAGAAAUUAAAACCCAUAUAUCCACUAUAUAUAAAUUAAGACAAUUGAACAAUCAACAAUUACUAUUAUCAAUAUCCUCUACUGAGAGAUAAUUUGAUUGGAGUAAGAUCAUUAUGAAUUAUAAAAAAAAUUCUUUAAGUACUUAACACAAUUAUACAUAUCUACUUAAAAACAACUAUACAUAUCAAGUACUCCAACUCAUAAUGAUUAAGCACUGGGAGUGACUUGAAGAACCUCAAUACCUUAUAUCAGUUAAUCUAAGCAGUUGAUGAUAAAUUAACUUGCAUGUGAUCACGCCUAUCCGUAUUUGCAUUCUUGUUUGGUUGCAUAAAUUAAGCCAUCCGGCCUGCUUGUUAUUUUGUGUGUGAAUUGACUGAAACCUUUGGCAGACAAAUUAAAACACAAGGAAUUAAAAUGCAAGAGGUUCUUAUACCUUGGCUAUAACUCAGACAAGUUGGGAAGUGGAAGCUACGUAUAAUUGAACAGAAGCCCAGGAAAGAUGACAACUACUGCUAAUUCAAGUUUGCUAUGCAGCUAUACCUAUAACAGACAGGAGUCCCUAAACUUUCUUCUAUAAACACUUUUCUCUAUCUCCCAUGCAUGCUUCUAUUUCUUAAAUAGAAAGCCCAUAUUUAUAGGAAAAAAAGGUUCUAUU
rnacentral:lncRNA from 1 species